GGAUUAGAUACCCUGGUAGUCCACGCAGUAAACGAUGAGUGCUAGUCGCUGGUACAAUAGUAUCAGUGUCGUAGCUAACGCAUUAAGCACUCCGCCUGGGAAGUACGGUCGCAAGAUUAAAACUCAAAUAAAUUGACGGGGGCCCGCACAAGCGGUGGAGCAUGUGGUUUAAUUCGAAGCAACGCGAAGAACCUUACCAGACCUUGACAUGGUAUGUUUGAAUUACAGAAUCGUAAUUCUUCAGUUCGGCUGGCAUACACACAGGUGCUGCAUGGCUGUCGUCAGCUCGUGCCG
rnacentral:rRNA from 1 species